UGCUUGAUAGCUCAGUUGAUAGAGCAUGAGACACUUAAUCUCAGGGUCGUGGGUUUGAGCCCCAGUUAGGCAA